ACGUACACUCCUACGGGAAGCAGCAGUGGGGAAUAUUGCACAAUGGGCGCAAGCCUGAUGCAGCCAUGCCGCGUGUAUGAAGAAGGCCUUCGGGUUGUAAAGUACUUUCAGCGGGGAGGAAGGCGAUAAGGUUAAUAACCUUGUCGAUUGACGUUACCCGCAGAAGAAGCACCGGCUAACUCCGUGCCAGCAGCCGCGGUAAUACGGAGGGUGCAAGCGUUAAUCGGAAUUACUGGGCGUAAAGCGCACGCAGGCGGUCUGUCAAGUCGGAUGUGAAAUCCCCGGGCUCAACCUGGGAACUGCAUUCGAAACUGGCAGGCUAGAGUCUUGUAGAGGGGGGUAGAAUUCCAGGUGUAGCGGUGAAAUGCGUAGAGAUCUGGAGGAAUACCGGUGGCGAAGGCGGCCCCCUGGACAAAGACUGACGCUCAGGUGCGAAAGCGUGGGGAGCAAACAGGAUUAGAAACCCUAGUAGUCCCAUGAU
rnacentral:rRNA from 1 species